rnacentral:rRNA from 1 species
AGAAUCAACGCUGGCGGCGUGCCUAACACAUGCAAGUCGAACGAGAACGGGUAGCAAUACCUUAGUAAAGUGGCGCACGGGUGAGUAACACGUGACUAACCUACCCUGGAGUGGGGGAUAACUGAGAGAAAUCUUAGCUAAUACCGCAUAACACCUACGGGUCAAAGGAGCAAUUCGCUUCAGGAGGGGUCGCGGCAGAUUAGAUAGUUGGCGGGGUAAUGGCCCACCAAGUCAGUGAUCUGUA